AUUGAACGCUGGCGGCAGGCUUAACACAUGCAAGUCGAGCGGAGAGAGGUAGCUUGCUACUGAUCUUAGCGGCGGACGGGUGAGUAAUGCUUAGGAAUCUGCCUAUUAGUGGGGGACAACAUUUCGAAAGGAAUGCUAAUACCGCAUACGUCCUACGGGAGAAAGCAGGGGAUCUUCGGACCUUGCGCUAAUAGAUGAGCCUAAGUCGGAUUAGCUAGUUGGUGGGGUAAAGGCCUACCAAGGCGACGAUCUGUAGCGGGUCUGAGAGGAUGAUCCGCCACACUGGGACUGAGACACGGCCCAGACUCAGACGGGAGGCAGCAGUGGGGAAUAUUGGACAAUGGGCGGAAGCCUGAUCCAGCCAUGCCGCGUGGGAGAAGAAGGCCUUAUGGUUGUAAAGCACUUUAAGCGAGGAGGAGGCUACUUUAGUUAAUACCUAGAGAUAGUGGACGUUACUCGCAGAAUAAGCACCGGCUAACUCUGUGCCAGCAGCCGCCGUAA
rnacentral:rRNA from 1 species